rnacentral:lncRNA from 1 species
UUCUAGUACAUAAUGUACUGUAGCUCUAAGAAAAUGAAUGCUUACAAGUGUAGAUAUUUAUAUGAGUCAGCAAAGCUGGCAUAAAGUUGAUGACACCUUAUACACCCGAAGGAGCUGACAUUCACUGUUUAGUGGGGAAAAAAAUAAAACCUGAUCUUCAGGAUGAUUACAGUGCUAUAGAUAAAUGCACGAAUGAGUCUAUUUGAAAACAUUAUUUUGUGCUUGCAUAGCAAUUUAUUUAACUCAGAUUGCAAGAAAAAACAAAUGUGAACAUAACCCAUUAAAGGCAUAAGUCAAGAGUAACACAACUCAAUUCAAAAUACUGCAGUUUCAGCUAGUAUUUGCUGAUCUCCUUUAAUCUUUGCUAGCUCUCUUAGGCAGCAGUUUCCUCAGGAUGAACUAGGUCUUCAUUUGAAUAAGAUGCUUGUUGCAACUCCUACAAUGAAUCUGUAAGGGUGCUGUCAUUGUCCCCAUCAUUUUGCUUCAUCUUGAAAAUUCCGUUAUAAAACAAGCACACUCUGUGACCUCAUACCAUGUGUUGCACUUCUCUCUGUUAUUCUGCUUUUCUUUCACCUGAGAAGCUGCAGAUCCCAAAGCAGAAAUUAAGGAAUAGUAAUGAACAAAGACAAAAAAAAAAAUCUCAUUUUAGAGAGUAUCAUUAGAUGUGUUUUUUCCAUGGUUGUCAGUGGGAGUUCUUCAUUUUACCCUUGGUGCAGAUGUUGAAACAUGAAAAUCUCAAAUUAAAGGAACCAAGAGGCACUGCAAGGACUAUUGCAGCUCCAGUUGACUUUCAGAUGCAAGUACACAGGUUUAAACUUCCAACUUGGAGUGGCUCAGCUCUUUUUUGUAAAGAUGCUUUUGCUCUUUCAGUAGCAACAAAUCUUACAUUUUGUGACAAGCUAUUUCCAGGACAACCAGCUGUGAUAUGACAGAAAAUUACAGUUUAAGUGAGGAGGAAAGAGAAGGAGCAGAUGAUAUCUCAUAACCCUGCAAACAAAUCCUGUUGUCAUGAAAAGUAUGCCUAUUAAUAGACUAUAAAGAUGAAGAAAAACAGGUAUGAUUUACAAUUUUUAAAGGACAGUUGCUAAGCUGAAGAUUUUCAAGACUUUGAGCCGCUUUUUGAUAGUGAUAAGCCACUAUCAGUUCUGAAAUACAUCUAGCAAUAGCACUGAAGAAAGAGAUACAGCAUAGGCAGACAAGGAGCACUUUUAAGCCUAAUCACAUGCAAAUUUGAGAUUAAUAGGUUAUAACUGAUUUCAGUGCAUAUGAGGAAUAUGGUGUAAAGCCUUCAUAUAUCUUCAAUUUUAAUUCUGCUUUAAUAUCUUGGUGUGAACAUUCCUUAAAAGAAGACCUCAGAAUGGGGAAUAUAGACUGACUUUUCUACUACCAAAAUCAAUAGAACCAUUUAAAAGGUUAGGGGUUUUGUUACAUAUGCAUCUUCUCCUUAGAAAGAGAAUUGGAGCUGCAAGGUCAUUUCAUGGAAGCCAUUCAGAUGUCCACCUCACAGUCAAACUUCUUCCCCCAAAUAACACAAACAUCUCCUGAACAGUCCUUUAAGCACAACUCUUUAUUUUGUAUAACAAGGCCAUAUACUUACAGAGUUUCCUAAAAACUGUUCCCCAAAAUUAAUUGACCAGUGGGGACUGGAAGAGAUUGCAGGAUCUUUUGGGGCCAUGACUAAAGCUGGGGUGUUUUGUACACACUGGCCUGUCCACACUGGUCUGAAACUCUGGUGCACCUGCACUGUCAGGCUGAAUAGUUACACUCUUUGCCAAGCACCACAUCUUCUCUGGUGAUGAGCUGUGAGUCCCUGUCCAGGUGUCUGGGUAUGGCAGGAAGGAAAUAUAACUUCCCUACGUGUUUUUUAUAAGGCAUCCACUUCCUGUAUUUUAUUAUUAACGUACAUGGAAGACAGCUGAUAAUUUUUACUUAAAUCAAAGUAUGGGUUACAGGUUUGCAUAGCAUAACAUGAACCCCUCCUUAUCUUAUUAUCUUUGCCAUAGAUUUACAGGAACACAGACCUUAAGCCAGAAAGGAAGAUGAUAAAUGAUCUUUUGUACAGUUUUGAACAAACUCCUUCACUUCUUUGUGCCUCCUCUGCGCCAUUUGUGACAUGAUGGUAAUCAGAGGAUAUGUUCAAGCUUAGCAUUUUUCAAGAAAGCAUUUUUCACAUCCCCAAAUAUGGUGAUACAUGUUUAUUCAAUUUUAAAGUACUGUCUUAAUAAUAAAAAUAAUCUGUCUCACA